UACGUAGGGUGCGAGCGUUAAUCGGAAUUACUGGGCGUAAAGCGUGCGCAGGCGGUUUUGUAAGCCAGAUGUGAAAUCCCCGGGCUCAACCUGGGAAUGGCAUUUGGGACUGCAAGGCUUGAGUGCGGCAGAGGAGACUGGAAUUCCUGGUGUAGCAGUGAAAUGCGUAGAUAUCAGGAGGAACACCAGUGGCGAAGGCGGUGCUCUGGGCCGGAACUGACGCUGAGGAGCGAAAGCGUGGGGAGCAAACAGG
rnacentral:rRNA from 1 species